rnacentral:lncRNA from 1 species
AUGGAAGGGGGGAGUGAAGCAGUAAAGAGGAUCAUCUAUAAGCACAGCAAGCUGCAGAAUGGAGUGAGAUGGUGCGAGUACCUCCUUCUGGUUGUUGGAUAUUCCCAGAAUCCAAGAAUGGGCCAAGCUGGAAGGCACCACAGUGGAUCACUGGUCCCAUUUCCCUGCUCCAGCAGGGCAAUCCAGGCUACAGGGCACAAGAUUGUGUCCAGAAGGGUCCAGAAUAUCUCCAGUGAGGAGACUCCCCACCCUCUCUGGACAAUCUGCUCAGUGGUCGGUCACUGCCCAGGGAAGUUGAACAGAAUUCAACAGAAUUCAACAGAAUCACAAGGUUGGAAGAGACCUCCAAGAUGAUCAAGUCCAACCCAACUCUAACACCUCAACUAGACCACAGCACCAAGUGCCACAUCCAGUCUGUUUUUGAACACAUCCAGGGAUGGUGACUCCACCACCUCCCCGGUCAAACCAUUCCAGUACAUUAUUAUUCUUACCAUGAAAAACUUUUUCCUAGUAUCCAACCUAAAUUUCCCUUGGCACAUCUUGAGACUGUGUCCUCUCAUUCUGUCAGUGGUGGCCUGGAGAAAGAGACCAACCCCCACCUGACUACACCCACCUCUCAGGAGGUUGUAGAGAGUGAUAAAGUCACCUCUGAGUCUCCUUUUCUCCAGGCUAAACAACCCCAGCUCCCUCAGCCAUUCCUCACAGGGUUUGUGUUCCCAGUCCCUCACCAGCCUCAUUGCCUCCUCUGGAUGUGCUCAAGCGUCUCAACAUCCUUCCUGAACUGAGAGGCCAGAACUGGACACAGCACUCAUGGAGUGGCCUCACCAGUGCCGGGUACGGGGAAGAAUGACCUCCCUGCUCCUGCUGGCCACGCUACUCCUGAUCCAGGCCAGGAGCCAUUGGCCUUCUUGGCCACCAGGGCACACUACUGGCUCAUGGUCCGCCAGCUGUCACCAGCACCCCUAGGUCCCUUUCUGCCUGGGCACUGUCCAGCCACACUGUCCCCAGCCUGUAGCACUGC